rnacentral:piRNA from 1 species
UGCUAUGCUGGUGCAUACACCUGACUGGC